rnacentral:rRNA from 1 species
CCUACGGGCGGCAGCAGUGGGGAAUAUUGCACAAUGGGGGAAACCCUGAUGCAGCGACGUCGCGUGAGUGAAGAAGUAACUCGUUAUGUAAAGCUCUAUCAGCAGGGAAGAAAAUGACGGUACCUGAGUCAGAAGCCCCGGCUAACUACGUGCCAGCAGCCGCGGCAAUACGUAGGGGGCAAGCGUUAUCCGGAUUUACUGGGUGUAAAGGGAGCGUAGACGGCAGUGCAAGUCUGGAGGGAAAGGCGGGGGCUCAACCCCCGGACUGCUCUGGAAACUGUACGGCUGGAGUGCAGGAGAGGUAAGUGGAAGUCCUGGUGUAGCGGUGAAAUGCAUAGAUAUUAGGAGGAACACCAGUGGCGAAGGCGGCUUACUGGACUGUAACUGACGUUGAGGCUCGAAAGCGUGGGGAGCAAACAGGAUUAGAUACCCUAGUAGUC